rnacentral:rRNA from 1 species
GAGUUUGAUCGUGGCUCAGGACGAACGCUGGCGGCGCGCCUAACACAUGCAAGUCGAGCGGGGAGAGCGAUAGUUUACUAGAGUUUUCCUAGCGGCGGACGGGUGAGUAACACGUGAAGAACCUGCCUUACAGAGGGGGACAACAGCUGGAAACGGCUGCUAAUACCGCAUAACGUUUAGUUGGGGCAUCCCGAUUAAACCAAAGGAGCAAUCCGCUGUAAGAUGGCUUCGCGUCCGAUUAGACAGUUGGCGGGUAACGCCCACCAAAUCUACGAUCGGUAGCCGGACUGAGAGGAUGAACGGCCACAAUGGAACUGAGACACGGUCCAUACUCCUACGGGAGGCAGCAGUGGGGAAUAUUGCACAAUAGGGGGAAACCCUGAUGCAGCAACGCCGCGUGAGUG